AGUGAACGCUGGCGGUAGGCCUAACACAUGCAAGUCGAACGGCAGCACAGUAAGAGCUUGCUCUUACGGGUGGCGAGUGGCGGACGGGUGAGGAAUACAUCGGAAUCUACUUUUUCGUGGGGGAUAACGUAGGGAAACUUACGCUAAUACCGCAUACGACCUACGGGUGAAAGCAGGGGAUCUUCGGACCUUGCGCGAUUGCAUGAGCCAAUGUCGGAUUAGCUAGUUGCGGGGUAAAGGCCCACCAAGGCGACGAUCCGUAGCUGGUCUGAGAGGAUGAUCAGCCACACUGGAACUGAGACACGGUCCAGACUCCUACGGGAGGCAGCAGUGGGGAAUAUUGGACAAUGGGCGCAAGCCUGAUCCAGCCAUACCGCGUGGGUGAAGAAGGCCUUCGGGUUGUAAAGCCCUUUUGUUGGGAAAGAAAAGCAGCAGGUUAAUACCCCGCUGUUCUGACGGUACCCAAAGAAUAAGCACCGGCUAACUUCGUG
rnacentral:rRNA from 1 species